UACGUAGGAAGCAAGCGUUGUUCGGAUUUACUGGGCGUAAAGAGUGCGUAGGCGGUUGUAUAAGUCAAAGGUGAAAUCCCUAUUCUCAAGGUAGGAACUGCCUUUGAUACUGUACGACUUGAGAGCAAGAAGGGGGAACGGAACUCUGGAAGUAGCGGUGAAAUGCGUAGAUAUCCAGAGGAACGCCGGUGGCGAAGGCGGUUCCCUAGUUUGCUUCUGACGCUGAGGCACGAAAGCUAGGGUAGCGAUCGGGAUUAGAUACCCCCGUA
rnacentral:rRNA from 1 species